UACGUAGGGGGCAAGCGUUGUCCGGAAUCAUUGGGCGUAAAGCGCGUGUAGGCGGCCAGAAAAGUCCGCUGUGAAAACUCGAGGCUCAACUUCGAGCUGUCGGUGGAAACUUUCUGGCUAGAGUCCGGAAGAGGAGAAUGGAAUUCCUGGUGUAGCGGUGAAAUGCGCAGAUAUCAGGAGGAACACCUGCGGGUGUAGACGGCUUACGUGGACGGUAACUGACGCUGAGGCACGAAAGCGUGGGUAGCAAACAGG
rnacentral:rRNA from 1 species